CUCGUGCCGUGAGGUGUCGGGUUAAGUCCCAUAACGAGCGCAACCCCUACUGCUAGUUGCCAGCGGGUCAUGCGGGGACUCUAGCGGAACUGCCAGCGUAAGCUGCGAGGAAGGUGGGGAGUGACGUCAAAUCAGCACGGCCCUUACGUCCAGGGCUACACACGUGUUACAAUGGCCAGUACAGAGGGCAGCCACCCCGCGAGGGGGCGCUAAUCCUAAAAGCUGGUCCCAGUUCGGAUCGGAGUCUGCAACCCGACUCCGUGAAGCUGGAUUCGCUAGUAAUCGCGCAUCAGCCACGGCGCGGUGAAUACGUUCCCGGGCCUU
rnacentral:rRNA from 1 species